CCAAUAGCGUAUAUUAAAGUUGUUGCAGUUAAAAAGCUCGUAGUUGAAUUUCGGGGUUAGUAGGUUGGUCAUGCCUCUGGUAUGUACUGGUCUCACUGAUUCCUCCUUCCUGAUGAGCCGUGAUGCCAUUAAUUUGGUGUUGCGGGGAAUUUGGACUGUUGCUUUGAAAAAAUUAGAGUGUUUAAAGCAAGCUAACGCUUGAAUACAUUAGCAUGGAAUAAUGAAAUAGGACGUUCGAUCCUAUUUUGUUGGUUUCUAGGAUUGACGUAAUGAUUAAUAGGGAUAGUUGGGGGCAUUAGUAUUCAAUUGUCAGAGGUGAAAUUCUUGGAUUUAUUGAAGACUAACUACUGCGAAAGCAUUUGCCAAGGAUGUUUUCAUUAAUCAAGGACGAAAGUUAGGGGAUCGAAGACGAUCAGAUACCGUCGUAGUCUUAACCAUAAACUAUGCCGACUAGGGAUCGGAUGAUGUUAAUUUUUUAAUGACUCAUUCGGCGCCUUACG
rnacentral:rRNA from 1 species